rnacentral:rRNA from 1 species
GGUCCAGACUCCUACGGGAGGCAGCAGUGGGGAAUAUUGCGCAAUGGGGGAAACCCUGACGCAGCAACGCCGCGUGAAGGAUGACGGCCUUCGGGUUGUAAACUUCUGUCGCAGAGGAAGAAGAAAGUGACGGUACUCUGUGAGAAAGCCACGGCUAACUACGUGCCAGCAGCCGCGGUAAUACGGAGGAUGCGAGCGUUAUCCGGAUUUAUUGGGUUUAAAGGGUGCGCAGGCGGAUUUUUAAGUCAGCGGUCAAAUCGUGGGGCUCAACCCCAUCCAGCCGUUGAAACUGGGGAUCUAGAGUGUGCGAGAGGUAUGCGGAAUGCGUGGUGUAGCGGUGAAAUGCAUAGAUAUCACGCAGAACCCCGAUUGCGAAGGCAGCAUACCGGUGCACAACUGACGCUCAGGCACGAAAGCGUGGGUAUCGAACAGGAUUAGAUACCCUGGUACCA